rnacentral:lncRNA from 1 species
GGACCCCCCCCACCCCCCCCAGAGGGGUAACGGGAUCCUCGCUGCGAUUGAUGGGGACGUUGGGGCCCCUAUUUUAACCGGGACCCCCACUGUGAUGGGGGCGUGGGGACCCCCACCCUGAUGGGGACCCCCAGGGGGACAUGGGGACACCGGGACCCCCCCCCCAUUUCUCUGGGGACCUCCAGGGGGACGUGAGGACAUUGGGGACCCCCACCCUAAUGAGGAUGGGGAUCUCUGGGGGGGCUUGGGGUCACUGGGACCCCUGUUUUAAUGGUGACCCCCACCCUGAUGGGGACCCCAGGCAGAUAUUAGGACCCUCCCUCGAAUGGGGACAUGGGGACCCCCACCCUAAUAGGGACAUGGGGACCCCGUGGGGACGUGGGGACUUUAUGACCCCCAUUUUAGUGGGGAGCCCCGCCCUGAUGGGAACAUUGGGGACCCCCAGGGGGAUAUUGGGACCCUGCCAAGGAUGGGGACACUGGGACCCCCCCCCCCCCGUUUCAAUGGGGACCCCCCACCCUAAUAGGGACAUUGGGGACCCCCAUCCUGAUGGGGACAUAGGGGAGAUUGGGGGGGGACAGGGGUGUGACUGUCACUAUUCUAAAGGGACAGGAAGGGGGGGGGGACAGCACAGGGGCAAAUGGGGGUCACUGUCCCCAUUUGUGUCCCCCUCCCCACAGGGGGUCCCAUCGUUGUCCCCACCUGUCCCUGUUCCCAUGGAGG